GUUACGCUAAUACCGCAUAAGCCUGAGGGGAAAGUGGGGGACCGCAAGGCCUCACGCGAAUGGAGCGGCCGAUGUCAGAUUAGCUAGUUGGUGGGGUAAAGGCUCACCAAGGCGACGAUCUGUAGCGGGUCUGAGAGGAUGAUCCGCCACACUGGGACUGAGACACGGCCCAGACUCCUACGGGAGGCAGCAGUGGGGAAUUUUGGACAAUGGGCGCAAGCCUGAUCCAGCCAUGCCGCGUGCGGGACGAAGGCCUUCGGGUUGUAAACCGCUUUCAGCCGGAAAGAAAUCGCUGUUUUUAAUACGGACAGUGGAUGACGGUACCGGAAGAGGAAGCACCGGCUAACUACGUG
rnacentral:rRNA from 1 species